AACGAACGCUGGCGGCGCGCUUAACACAUGCAAGUCGAACGAGAAGGCGUAGCAAUACGCUUGUAAAGUGGCGAACGGGUGAGGAAUACAUGGGUAACCUACCCUCGAGUGGGGGAUAACCCGCCGAAAGGCGGGCUAAUACCGCGUACGCUUCCGAUCUCGCGGGAUCGGAAGGAAAGCUGUCCCAAGGGGAUGGCGCUCAAGGAUGGGCUCAUGUCCUAUCAGCUUGUUGGUAGGGUAACGGCCACCAAGGCAUCGACGGGUAGCUGGUCUGAGAGGACGAUCAGCCACACUGGGACUGAGACACGGCCCAGACUCCUACGGGAGGCAGCAGUGGGGAAUCUUGCGCAAUGGGCGAAAGCCUGACGCAGCGACGCCGCGUGAGGGAAGAAGGCCUCGGUGUAAC
rnacentral:rRNA from 1 species